rnacentral:rRNA from 1 species
UUUGAUCCUGGCUCAAGACGAACGCUGGCGGCGUGCUUAACACAUGCAAGUCGAACGAUGAAACUAUGACGGAGGCUUCGGCCAACUGAGUGGUGGAUUAGUGGCGGACGGGUGAGUAACGCGUGAGUAACCUGCCUCUCAGAGAGGAAUAACAUUUGGAAACGAAUGGUAAUACCACAUAACAUUACGGGACCGCAUGAUUCUGUAAUCAAAAGGAUUUUAUCGCUGAGAGAUGGACUCGCGUCCGAUUAGCUAGAUGGUGAGGUAACGGCUCACCAUGGCGACGAUCGGUAGCCGGACUGAGAGGUUGAACGGCCACAUUGGGACUGAGACACGGCCCAGACUCCUACGGGAGGCAGCAGUGGGGAAUAUUGCGCAAUGGGGGAAACCCUGACGCAGCGACGCCGCGUGAGCGAAGAAGGCCUUAGGGUCGUAAAGCUCUGUUUUAAGGGACGAAUAUCCUUAGUAGUAACUGACUAAGGAAUGACGGUACCUUAAGAGAAAGCCCCGGCUAACUACGUGCCAGCAGCCGCGGUAAGACGUAGGGGGCGAGCGUUGUCCGGAAUUACUGGGCGUAAAGAGCACGUAGGCGGGAUUUUAAGUCAGGUGUGAAAGACCGUGGCUCAACCACGGGGUUGCACAUGAAACUGGAAUUCUUGAGGGCAGGAGAGGAAAGUGGAAUUCCUGGUGUAGCGGUGAAAUGCGUAGAAAUCAGGAGGAACACCGGUGGCGAAGGCGACUUUCUGGACUGACCCUGACGCUGAGGUGCGAAAGCGUGGGUAGCAAACAGGAUUAGAUACCCUGGUAGUCCACGCUGUAAACGAUGGAUACUAGGUGUGGGAGGUAUCGACCCCUUCCGUGCCGGAGCUAACGUGUUAAGUGUGCCGCCUGGGGAGUACGGCCGCAAGGCUAAAACUCAAAGAAAUUGACGGGGGCCCGCACAAGCGGAGGAGCAUGUGGCUUAAUUCGAUGCAACGCGAAGAACCUUACCCGGGUUUGACAUGUAACUGCACAUCCUGUGAAAGCAGGAUUCCUUCGAGGGUGUUACACAGGUGCUGCAUGGCUGUCGUCAGUUCGUGCCGUGAGGUGUUUGGUUAAGUCCAGCAACGAACGCAACCCCUGUGUCCAAUUGCCAGCGAGUAAUGUCGGGAACUUUGGACAGACUGCCUGUUUACGCAGGAGGAAGGUGGGGACGACGUCAAGUCAGUAUGGCCCUUACAUCCGGGGCUGCACACGUGCUACAAUGGUCGGUACAAUGGGACGCUAAGCCGUAAGGUGGCGCAAAUCCCCAGAGCCGGCCCCAGUUCAGAUUGCGGUCUGCAAUUCGACCGCAUGAAGUCGGAUUCGCUAGUAACGGCGUAUCAGCUACGACGCCGUGAAUACGUUCCCGGGCCUUGUACACACCGCCCGUCAAG